UGAAAUUCUGAUCUGUUAUGAUAAACAUAAUCAUUUCAAAGGAUAAAAUAUCAUUGGGUCUACUUUGAUACUUUUUUAACAAAAGUUAUAUCGGGAGAAAAUUCCAAAACUUAGGUCCUCAUAUUUAAAAUUUAUUUAUUAUGAUUCAGCUUUUUGUAUAUUUUGUUUUGGCUCUUUUAUCAUCGCUUUUUCUUCUGAC
rnacentral:lncRNA from 1 species